rnacentral:tRNA from 1 species
AUCAUUAAUGGCGACGGAAUUGUAACAGAUGCAAAUCCCGUUGCGACGGAGCUGCUAGGGGGGCCGUUAGAAGGACU